rnacentral:rRNA from 1 species
GACGAACGCUGGCGGCGUGCCUAAUACAUGCAAGUAGAACGCACAGUUUAUACCGUAGCUUGCUACACCAUAGACUGUGAGUUGCGAACGGGUGAGUAACGCGUAGGUAACCUGCCUGGUAGCGGGGGAUAACUAUUGGAAACGAUAGCUAAUACCGCAUAAUAUUGAUUAUUGCAUGAUAAUUGAUUGAAAGAUGCUAUUGCAUCACUACCAGAUGGACCUGCGUUGUAUUAGCUAGUAGGUGAGGUAACGGCUCACCUAGGCGACGAUACAUAGCCGACCUGAGAGGGUGAUCGGCCACACUGGGACUGAGACACGGCCCAGACUCCUACGGGAGGCAGCAGUAGGGAAUCUUCGGCAAUGGACGAAAGUCUGACCGAGCAACGCCGCGGGAGGGGAGAAGGGUUUCGGAUCGUAAAGCUCUGUUGUAAGAGAAGAACGGGUGUGAGAGUGGAAAGUUCACACUGUGACGGUAUCUUACCAGAAAGGGACGGCUAACUACGUG